CAUUAAAACAUCAGUUCUCGUCCGUUCACUGAAGUUAAGCAACGUCGAUCCUGGUCAGUACUUAGAUGGGUGACUGCCUGGUUAUGCCAGGUGCUGUAC